UUUUUUUUUUUUUUUUUUGGUCUUCUUGCUCUCAAUUACCAAAGCAGUGGUAAACUCUCCAUACAAGUGUGGAUUUGAGAUUUAUUUCUUCAAUUCUGUAAUUUUGUCUCAUGUAUUUCUAAACCUUGCUCUUAAGUAUAUAUAUAACUAGGUUUGUUAUAUCUUCCUGAUGGACUGACCCCUUUUAUCACUGUGAAAUAAUAUUCUUGAUAUCUGGUAAUACUCUUUGUCUUGGUAUCUAUUUUGUUUGGCUACAAUUUUUUAUCCUAUUAAGUAAAUACUAAAUAAUCAUGGCAUUAACUGAAAUAAUAAAUAUUACAAUAAAUGUUAAAUAUAAAUUAGUAUAUUAUUAAAAUGUUUCCCAGUGUGUGAUUGAAUAAUUUUAAUACUCAACCAUAAUAAUUGAAUAAAAAAUGCUGUUCACACAUUUAUUUUAUGUGAAAAGACAUUUGAAAACUUACAAAAUGAAAAUUAAAUCGUGAUUUGCAUAUAAUAUUUAAAUGAGAGACCUUAAGACCUGGGUAAAUAAUUAAAACCCCAGUAUGGUAAUUUGAAGUUAAUAGGGACAUUAGUGGUCAGUGUUCCACUUUACACAUGGAAAAAUUAAUACUGUGAGAAGCUGAAAACUAGUCCCAAAUCACAAAUGUUGCUAAGGUCUAGAAUACCAACGUUCUUUGUUCUAUAAGUUACUGAUACUCAUGAAUAAGGUCCUUGUGGGGAUAUCCAAAACUUAAAGAAAGAAAUAAAGGUAUCAAAAUUUUAAUGAUGAUAGGAACGUGAAAAAAAUCAAUGUUGUAUUAUUCUUAACCAAAUGCCUUAAUCUUUAUCCAUCAUUUUUCUCAGCUACAAAAAUGAUCAUAAUUCAUAAAGAAAAAUAUAUCUUUAUUUUCCUUCAAGCUUAGGAAAGGACAAAAGAUUGUGGUUCCAAUUUCAAUGUCACUGCCCCAUGAAUAAAAUAUUCUCAAGAGUAAAUGAGUGUGUUUACCUGUAUAAUGGAAAGAGUAGUCUUACUUUUAUAGUCAUAUAUAGAGAAGGAAAAACAACCAUUUAGCCAACGUUUCUAUUCUUGCAUGUGUACUCCCAAUGGGAUUAUACUUAUUGUGAGUACAUUAGAGGAUGACUCCCAUGCCUUUUAAUAAUUUUUAAAGUACAUGUUAAAAUGCCCAUUAUAUUUCUUGCUUUAAAGGGAUUAGUAAAAUGUUAAUUAAUAAUGAAUGCAUAGACAAAAAAAUGCCAGGGACAGUUUCUUGGCAGAAAACAAAUGAGUUGAAAUGCCCUCUUUAGCAGUGCAUUAGGAAUGUGACAAUUAAGAUAUAGUUAAGCCCUUUGGAAAUAGAUGCUUUUAGUCAUUUAUUUUUCCUAACAAUAAGUAACAGAGACAAAGCCUUUAGUACCUGAGUAUAAAUAUGAUUUUCAACUUCUUGAACACCAAGACAUUCUUUUAAAAUUCUAUUUGCUGCUAAUUCCUUAUGUUGACUGUAUUGUUAAUGAUGAUAAAUUUAAAAUACUGGGAGAUGCUCACUGGAAUAAAAGGUCAUUGCAG
rnacentral:lncRNA from 1 species